ACUGAAACAUCUAAGUACCCCGAGGAAAAGAAAUCAACCGAGAUUCCCUCAGUAGCGGCGAGCGAACGGGGAUUAGCCCUUAAGCAUCUUGGAAGUUAGUGGAACGGUCCUGGAAAGGCCGGCGAUACAGGGUGAUAGCCCCGUACACGAAAACAACCUUGAUGUGAAAUCGAGUAGGGCGGGACACGUGACAUCCUGUCUGAAUAUGGGGGGACCAUCCUCCAAGGCUAAAUACUCCUGACUGACCGAUAGUGAACCAGUACCGUGAGGGAAAGGCGAAAAGAACCCCUGUGAGGGGAGUGAAAUAGAACCUGAAACCGUGUACGUACAAGCAGUGGGAGCCCUUCGGGGUGACUGCGUACCUUUUGUAUAAUGGGUCAGCGACUUACAUUUUGUAGCGAGGUUAACCGUAUAGGGGAGCCGUAGGGAAACCGAGUCUUAACUGGGCGUCUAGUUGCAAGGUGUAGACCCGAAACCGGGUGAUCUAGCCAUGGGCAGGUUGAAGGUUGAGUAACAUCAACUGGAGGACCGAACCCACUAACGUUGCAAAGUUAGGGGAUGACCUGUGGCUGGGGGUGAAAGGCCAAUCAAACUCGGAGAUAGCUGGUUCUCCCCGAAAGCUAUUUAGGUAGCGCCUCGGACGAAUACUACUGGGGGUAGAGCACUGUUUGGGCUAGGGGGUCAUCCCGACUUACCAACCCCAUGCAAACUCCGAAUACCAGUAAGUAAUAUCCGGGAGACACACGGCGGGUGCUAACGUCCGUCGUGAAGAGGGAAACAACCCAGACCGCCGGCUAAGGUCCCAAAGUUCUGGUUAAGUGGGAAACGAUGUGGGAAGGCUCAGACAGCUAGGAUGUUGGCUUAGAAGCAGCCAUCAUUUAAAGAAAGCGUAAUAGCUCACUAGUCGAGUCGGCCUGCGCGGAAGAUGUAACGGGGCUCAAACCAG
rnacentral:rRNA from 2 species